UUAAUACCUACGCGUACAGCCACCUUAUUUUAGGGCUUCAUUCAUUUUCCACAUGACCCAGUUGUUGCCUUCUCUGUUUAGACGUGUAGUACAUAUAAGUCUUUACUCUUUUAAUGGCCAGCCUAUAAUCUAUACAUGUAAGUUGCAUGUAGCCUUCUAUUUAGCUUCCCAGACUCCCACGUUCCUAUUUCAUUUAUCAGUACAUAGUUUUGACCACCACCUUGCUUGAAAGCCCACCUUAUUUCCAGGAGAGCUUAUCACCUAUUCAAAUACUUAGCUCCAUGCAUGCAUAUAAAUAUUACUUCACACGUCUGUACCCACCAUAAUUUCAGCUGCACUUAUUUC
rnacentral:lncRNA from 1 species